AGAGUUUGAUCCUGGCUCAGGAUGAACGCUAGCGGCAGGCUUAACACAUGCAAGUCGAGGGGUAACAGAGGUAGCUUGCUACUUGCUGACGACCGGCGCACGGGUGAGUAACGCGUAUACAAUUUACCUCUUACAGGAGAAUAGCCCAGAGAAAUUUGGAUUAAUGCUCCAUGGUAUUAUGAUGUGGCAUCACAUUAUAAUUAAAGCUUCGGCGGUAAGAGAUGAGUAUGCGUCCUAUUAGCUAGAUGGUAAGGUAAUGGCUUACCAUGGCGACGAUAGGUAGGGGUCCUGAGAGGGAGAUCCCCCACACUGGUACUGAGACACGGACCAGACUCCUACGGGAGGCAGCAGUGAGGAAUAUUGGGCAAUGGAGGCAACUCUGACCCAGCCAUGCCGCGUGCAGGAAGACUGCCCUAUGGGUUGUAAACUGCUUUUAUACAGGAAGAAACCACUCUACGUGUAGAGUGCUGACGGUACUGUACGAAUAAGGACCGGCUAACUCCGUGCCAGCAGCCGCGGUAAUACGGAGGGUCCAAGCGUUAUCCGGAAUCAUUGGGUUUAAAGGGUCCGUAGGCGGGCAAUUAAGUCAGGGGUGAAAUCCCACAGCUCAACUGUGGAACUGCCUUUGAUACUGGUUGUCUUGAGUUGAGUAUAGUUGAGGUAGGCGGAAUGUGUAGUGUAGCGGUGAAAUGCAUAGAUAUUACACAGAACACCAAUUGCGAAGGCAGCUUACUAAACUAUAACUGACGCUGAUGCACGAAAGCGUGGGUAGCGAACAGGAUUAGAUACCCUGGUAGUCCACGCCGUAAACGAUGAUUACUCGUUGCAUGCAAUACACCGUAUGUGACUUAGCGAAAGCAUUAAGUAAUCCACCUGGGGAGUACGUUGGCAACAAUGAAACUCAAAGGAAUUGACGGGGGCCCGCACAAGCGGAGGAACAUGUGGUUUAAUUCGAUGAUACGCGAGGAACCCUUACCAGGGCUUAAAUGUAAGUUGCAUGAUUUAGAGAUAGAUCUUUCUUCGGACUACUUACAAGGUGCUGCAUGGUUGUCGUCAGCUCGUGCCGUGAGGUGUCAGGUUAAGUCCUAUAACGAGCGCAACCCCUACCGUUAGUUGCCAGCAUGUUAUGAUGGGGACUCUAGCGGGACUGCCGGUGCAAACCGAGAGGAAGGUGGGGAUGACGUCAAAUCAUCACGGCCCUUACGUCCUGGGCUACACACGUGCUACAAUGGUAACGACAGAGGGCAGCCACCCCGCGAGGGGGAGCGAAUCCUUAAACGUUAUCUCAGUUCGGAUCGGAGUCUGCAACUCGACUCCGUGAAGCUGGAAUCGCUAGUAAUCGGAUAUCAGCCAUGAUCCGGUGAAUACGUUCCCGGGCCUUGUACACACCGCCCGUCAAGCCAUGGAAGCUGGGGGUGCCUGAAGUCGGUGACCGAAAGGAGCUGCCUAGGGUAAAACUAGUAACUGGGGCUAAGUCGGAACAAGGUAACCGUAAAGGGC
rnacentral:rRNA from 1 species